GAGCCCACACCCCUCCAAUACCGUCUUCGGCCUCGUAAACGACAGGGUGUAACCCCUUCUGAGCUACAUAUUUGCAAGCAAUUAGACCACUUAUUCCAGCCCCAAUUAUAGCCACUGACUGCUUCAUUUCUGCCAUUAAUAAUUAUGGUGCUAUUAAUAUGGCUAACUUUUUUUCUCUUUGCCUUAGCUAAGUGUUUGUAAUUUUUGCUGUGGUCUUUGCAUGGGAAGGGACUCUCCUUAUAUAAUGAAUUUAUGUGGUUGGGGAUGCGUGAAUGCAUGCCCCCACUAUCCUCAUUCAUUAUUGAAGGUGUUCCACAUCCAAAAUAUUGGAAAGAUCGAGAAGGAGAAAGGAAUGAUUGAGGACAUUGGAUAGUGACUAAAGUUGAAAGAUUAUAAAGACAUUGAUAUUAAAAUUUUGUAUUAUAAUGCAAAUAUAAAUAAGAAUUAAAGUUUUACUAUAUAA